AGAUCCGGAAACCCUAAUCCCCAACCCGAGAGCCGCGCCAAGCAGUACCCUCGCCGGCGGCCGCCGCCGCCAUGUUCUCCGAGCGGGGAACGUUCAUCCGCCCCACCUCCUUCAACCCGCCCGUCCUACCACCCCCCGACACCGCCGCCUCCGUGCGGCGCCCCGGUUCUCCCGCCUGGGUCAUGCUCGACAAGGUCGCGUACAUCGGCGACCGGAAGAACGGGACGUUCGCUCAGGCCAUCACGCGCACGGGCCAAGCCGUCGGCGUCUCCCCCUGUGGCUCACCGACCCGCCGGCCAUCUCCCACCUGUGCUUCCACCUCUCGGACCUGAAGGUGACCGACGUCAUGGACGAGCCUGUCGUUCUCUGCUUGGGUAAGGACACCGCCAUCAUCCGCGUCGUCUACAACCUCGGCUUCAGGCCCGCAGCGUCCGUGCACGACAUGGGGAUGGCCGACUGCGACUACUUAGUUUACAGAGCCCACACCGAGCCCCCAUCGCUCGAUGU
rnacentral:lncRNA from 1 species